rnacentral:misc_RNA from 1 species
GCUCCGUUGGUGAACCAGCGGAGGGAUCAUUACUGGAAUCGCAAGAUCCCACAACCCUGUGAACCUACCGAAACGUUGCCUCGGCGGGUGCCCGGCCUCUGCGCCGGGCGCUGCGCCCGCCGGCGGCCCCCUACUCUGUCUCUGCAGCGUGGCAUCUCAGAGUCCCAGAAAACAAGUCAAAACUUUCAACAACGGAUCUCUUGGCUCUC